GAUAUAGGAUGGAAAAAAAAAAACCAGCAGGUAGUACUUUUGUUAGCUGCUGUGGGUUAGAGGAAGUAUUGACAAUGCUGUUUGGUUUCAGAACCUUGUUCUUAGUAUAGUUGUUGAAGUAGCUAAAUAAAUGAUAGGGAGUUAAAUGGGAUUGAACCCUUUCAGUUGAAUUCAAUAGGUUGAUUCUUCUGGGCCUUUAUUUAUUUGUUUUCAGAGUGUUUCUGUGCCAGCCUAUGCUAGCAGUCUUAAAAUUGUAUGAGGCAAGUCUACUGCGUACCUGUAGUUAACCUGUGUGGCUGCAGCGAUUUGGAGUUGCUGUAUACGCUGAGCUAAGCAUGCAGUGCCUAUUUGUCUUGGGCUUCUGCACUUUUAGUAGCCCGAUGGUUUUUUGCUCAAAUACAGUUAUUUAGCUGCCACUAGAAGAAGCUGUGUUUCAUCUAAACAGGUUAAUAUGACAGGCUGGCAAGCAGGUGGCUAGAGACUUUACUUUGCUGUGGAUAACUUCCAGAUUUUUCUCUUAGCAGAUCAAGUGGCAUGACUGCUAGACACUGCUGUAAAGUGGAGCUCUGUAAGCCAUGCCUGUUGUGCUCUGCAGCAGAGGAACGUCAAGCAAGAGCACCCCACAAACUGGUCUUCAUCAGUGGGCCUUUGCAGGGGAAGUAAAGAGCAGGAGCUUUUAACAGAGAGUUAGGAAAAAUACAUAAGCAGGUGUUUUCCUUUUAAAAAUAAGCAGGACUAGAGAUAUAGGUGAAAAAAAUAUUAUUAGGGCUGGACAGUCUGAUGUAUGCUGAAGGAGGGGAGUAAAAAAGGGGAGAGGGUGCGUGUUUCCUAAUACCACCUUUGUCUAGAAGCAUGCAAUAAGGCUGCUAACAUUUGUGCUUUAAAAAUAAAAUUACCAUCUGAAGAACUGAAUUUAGACAGCAAGCAGAGGCAGAAUGAGAGGUAGGGGCCAGUUCAUGGCUGCAGUGCAUGGGUGUUAGUUAAUGUUGUUCUGGCACUAAGACGUUUUAAAAAAAGAGAGAUGGGUAGGGGAAGGCAGAACAACAAAACACCCUGAAGGCUGUGAGCCCUUGUGGUUCAAGGGAAAACAACAUUCUGGGUAGCAGGGACAUUUAGACUGCAAAUGUGACAAACAAAAGCUUACAUAUUGCUGCAGGUUAUACUGCAGGGCUCUAUGACAUUGAUGUGAGUGCUUGAUUAAGUAAGAGCAGUAGGGGGAAUAGAGAGCUUCUGCUUAAAUUUUAGAUGAAGGACUUGCUUUCUGGAGGUUAAUGGCUUUAGACUGAGGAAGCCUGUGGGGGCUGGCAGGGAGGGAUUGUGCAAUUAGAGGAGCCUUCAGCAGUGUCAUUCAUUCUGCACUUGUUGUUCCAUUUCAGUGCUGGCCAAGUUCCCUGAUGGUCUGUGCUGUCUCACCUCGGGGUGUGUUUGCAGCAUCAGAGUGAUGGACUGGGGGAAGCCUGGGCAGCAGUAAGCUCCUCCAGCCUUGGUGACCACUCUGUGUUUUCAGCUAUCUGUCAACACAAACUUACCCUACACAACAUGGUGCUGCAGAAAAGGUGAUAAUACCACACCAUUGUCACAGCAAGACUCUUCCAAAACUUAGUAAGGUGGAGGAGCACCAGGGUGCUUGACAAAGAGCAGGGUGUCUGCUUGUCCAACGGGUGAGCCCUAUGUUGGAGGAGCAUGAACAUGGCCAGAUUUGGCUUUGUCCCAGUUGUUUUGAUGAGGAAGGAGUACCCUGGAGGGAUGAGUCACUUUGCCCAUUCCUACUCACAUUUCCCCUAAGGUCAGUGCCCCUGUCUGGCUCUGUUCUGGUUUCUCUUUUCCUUUUGUGACCAGGCUUUGUACCUCAGAGGCUGUGGUCAGCUCAGGUCUGCCCUCAGCAGAAGGACUAAGGAACGUGGUUUAGUGAUGGGACUUGGGAGGUCAGGUGGAUGGUCAGACAUGAUAAUCUUGAUGGACUUUAGGAAACUAAAUGAUUCUGUGAUUUCUGAGUGGGCAUCAGUGCUGCUCCCCACAUGCGUUGCUCACAGGUGUGUGUGGACAGAGAGGGAUCUGAUGAAUGUGGUGAUAAAACUCCUCCUUAUGCUGAUCUAUGACUUUCUGUGGCACUUUUCUAUCACCUGUAUGACAAGGAGGAGGACAGGACAGGCCCAAGCAAAAAUCAGAGGCUGGAUGUCCACUUUGUGCUAAAGAAUGAGAUUUAAAGUCAAGGAGAACUGCAGUAAUUGUAUUCAAAGGGCAAAGAAAACAGCAGCAUGUUCACCAUGGAAAUAAGCCACCUGAAAAACCAAAUGGAUCCCUGGUGUAAUUUUAUGAGCUUCCGCAAAAUUAGUGCAGGAUCAACAGCAGGCAUUGAAUUGAAAGUUUUCAGGCUCAAAGGGUAUCUGGGAUUGGCAUCCAUUUGUUCUUCUUUUGGACAAGAUAUACAUGUUCUUGGGAGUGCGGAGUCCAGUUGUCUGCAUAUCUGGGGGGCAGGACCAAUAAUAAGGCAAAGAGCCUGAACUCUUCCUUCCCUCUGAGUGAUGACUGGGAUGCCCAGGGGGGAGGAAAUUGCUGCUGCUUAUAUUUGCAGAAUAAGGGAGAUGAAGAUGUCCUCCUGUGAGGCUGCACGGGGAACAAUGCUGGGAGACAGGUAUGGGAAUGGCAAUGAUGUCUCCGCUCUGCUCUGGGAAACUACAAAACAAAGGAAGCCUGGGAUGACUGAACAAGUACAACAGCUCCCUUACUGAGGAGCACGCUGUAUUCAGCAUAGAUUUAAAGCCCUGGUAGAAGACACGCUUCAGUUCCAUUACUGCUUGCUCAUGAAUGAUCUGCAGACUGAGUAAUUCACCUUUGCAGGAUUCCUGUCACCCACGGGAACCUAAAGGCUGGGUGUAAGUACUGGCAUUGCCAUCACGAUGGCCUUGGAGGCACCCGAGAAGCUGAAGUCUGUUCUACUUGCUGCAGUAAGCCAGAGCUAUUGCAUACAGCUGUAUUUAUGGAGGGUUACUGAUACAGCACUGAAUAUUGAUUCUUGUCUCAGUUUUUCCUUUUUCAAAGUGCCUCCCGAAACAGCAGAAUUCUGAUUGUCAAAACACAGUGAUAGUUAGCAGCACUGUUAGGAUUUUAUCCUGUAGUCUAAACAGAAAUGAUGUUUGAUAUCAAGAAAAAAGGCUUCCUCAAACUCCCUGAGUCUUACCCCUGCACACACAAACAAGUUGCUCUGAUUGCACGGCCUGAGACAGAGGUGCUGCAAUUCAUCUGGCUGCCUUGUCUUCAGGGUGCAUAAUACAUCUGCCUUUCUGUAGCCAGACAGGCAUAUUUCUUGCUCACCAGUUUCCCAGCCGCACAGAGAUAAACACAUUUUUCUGUCUAAAAGCUGAAAAGUAAACUGAAGGUGCCAAGAGGAGAAGCUGCAGGGUUUAGUGGCUGGACUGCAAAGUCUGGCUGCUUUUCUUAUCCUCCUUAUUGAUCGUGUGUCUUCAGUGUGUCUCUCCUGCUCUCUUCAUGUUUCCCUUACCAUUGUUCUGCUGCUCCAUCUCUGGCAUAGGCAAUUUGUCUUUCUGUGUGUGCUUGGUGCAACAGGCUGUGCUGAGCCAAGAAAAGAGUUAAAUAAGAAUAUGAGGCAUCCUAUAGAGGUGUGUUUGCUGUGAGGACUUAAUCUCCUUCCGUGCUUGUAGAUGAUGAUGCCUGCUGCUCGCAGGCAUAGUGACAAAACACAGACCUCCAACAGAAGCCAUUCCCCCAAAGGUGGGGAUGGCAAAGUGCCAGCUGUUCCCUGUGGUCUUCAGCAUGCAGAUCUGCCCUAGCCCUUGGGCCUCAAUGCUUGUCUGUGUGUGCACUUCCCCUGGUGGGUCUCUGGUGCAGGGAGUUCUCCAGGAGCCCUGUAUAAUCUAGAAAAGAGUGAUGGUGAGCAAGGUUCUCCUGGGCCUUCUCAGCCUGGGGGCCUGGCCUUGUUCUGGUGCCUGUGAUGCUUCUCCACAGUGCUACAAGCCAUCCCACUGCACUGCUCCGGCAACAAACAGGAACAAAAUUUCUCACUGUUUGCAUGCUGAUAUAUAUAUUUAUUUUUUUUUUAGUGAGAAAUUUUGUUCCUGUCGCUGCAGUUAUGGAUGAGUUAGCACUACUGCUCUCUUUUGUUCAAUUUGUUGCUGUGAUCCAUAUAUGAGCUGUAACUGUCCUCUCUUAUUGUGGGCCCUGCUUUUCAACACCCCACCUCUGGUACUCUGCCAUCAGUCCCUGUGCCCCGUGCUUCACCUCUUUUCCCCAUGCUCAAGGCAGGGACAUGCACAGCUCUGGCACAGAUGACUUGAUUUUUAAGAACAGCAAAAUGUCGCCCUGCAAAACUGCUGAACCAUCUGCAUAUAGCAGAGCAUAUGACAAGUAACCUACCGCUGUGUUUCUGGCUGUCCUGGCUCUCCCCGCUCACCCCUCAGUGCUUGCUGUGCCACAUGCGUCAGCAUAAAGAUCACGCUCUGUAGGGGUGGUGCUCAGUCUCUGUCUGGGCUAUAAAUCCCUGUGUACCAUGGAAAUGACAGGGAAUCAUCAGAUAAUCUCUCAUGAAACUAACGGUGCUUCACGAGGUCGUGCAGAUUAUAAUUUUUAUCAGUUUUGAGUUUUUGCUAUCCUAAGUAUCAUCUGCUAAUGGUCCCUUCUCUACACGGGCUGAUGAUCACCCAGUAUGCUGCUGUUUUUAUUUGAAAACUUGUAAUUUAUUGGUAUUAAAACUGCGAGGGAAGCUUGGAUUAAAAUUUCAUGUUUCUUUAUUGUACCUCUUCCUUAAAGAGGAGGGGAUGUGUAGUACAGACAUGGGUUAAACAACAACUUUGUCAGGUGGGUUGUGUUUUUCCUUUCCAAAGAAGGAUAAGAGGAUUUUCCCUCAGCAGUGCUCUCCCGUUAUAUACUCGAUAACAGACUGAAAUAGGUUUAAUAUAAUUCACUUAGCAUUGUGGGAGGAUACUUUGCCAAGUAGUGGAAACUGGCUUGUGGCAGCUUAAAAGGUCAUUGCUGUGCAAGGGUGCCCCUUCAUGCAUUAUCUGUAAGCAUGGCUUCUGAUUUAGUGUAAUUGAUUUUAAAGCCUGAUAGUUUGCCAAACUGAUUUAUAAUAUGAAUCUCUGAUGGGAUUGAAAUUUUUGAGUUGAAAUGCAAGUGGUAAAACUUCAUCAACCCAACCUGCUUUUGUUUGCAGCCUCUGCCUUCCUUAUUAUUGUGGUUAACUAAUGUUUUCCACAGGAACUGGUAGAAAUCCUUCAAGGCAACCCUGAAACAUAAAGGCACACGUGGGCAUUUUGCCUAGCACCUCCCUUGUAAGAGAAGACAAUGCAAGUCGAAGCCAAUUUAAUUAGCAACAAUGAUGGGUCUAUUUCUGAUCUCAUACAGGCAGAUCUUUUGUGUGACUUCACUGUUUCACUGUAUUUAUUCCUGGAAUACAUCCUUUUCACUGUGGUCAAAAUUAUGUCUAAUGUCCUUGUGAUACAGGAGAAUCUUCUAACUAGGAAAGUGCCUAAAAGUAGGCAGCAGUUUAAAAACAAAAACAAAACAAAACAGCAACAACAACAAAACAAUAACAAAGAACCACUAAUUUAGAGAGACUACAAUAUAAGGAAAUGGUAGAAGUGCUGCCUGUACAAUAGUUUAUAAUAAUAAACUGUUUAUAAUAAUAAACUGCAGGACAAUGCCUUUGAUUGCCUGGGUGCUUGCAGGAGAAAUCAUCUGAUUUAUCAGAAUCAAGUAAAGCUGGAAAAAAUCUUUAAUACCAGAGAGAAUAAUUUCAUUUCCACAUAGAGCAUAGAAAAGAAAAUAAUUAUCUGAUUUAUAAUAAACUGUAAUAUGCUGAUAUAUGUGUAGAAUGCAGGGUUCUGAAAUAAUUUUAUCAUGACAGAACAAUUUUUUUUUAUUUUUUUUUGGUAUGUUCAUCUCUGUGUGGGUUUGGGCUGCUGGCCAGCAGGGUGGCAAGCAUAUUUGCAUUGCUUGUGCUACUGCCUAUGAACUUUAAAGCUGAUGGUAUUCCUGAAUGUUUGUGAGACAGUGACAGGUAACUGCAAAUGAACUGGUUCACAGAGUGAGAAAACAGAGGUAAAAAAGUGGAGGGGUACCUCACAGGAUGGCUUUAACAUCAAGUGCCCUGUCUGCUCUGUUGUUCAGUUUUUCCUUCCUCUAACUACAGUAUGAGGGUUUGAAAGAUUUUCCAAAAAAUCUGUCUGUCAGUUAGGAUACUAUUUUCUCCUCCGUGUGAGUUGUUUAUUUAAUUCCAUAAAGUGUUAAGCAGCAGGAAUUUUUGUGAAUGACAACAAAAUGGUAUAAUCGAGAAAAACUUGGGUCAAUUUAUUUUAGUCAUCUUGUAUUGCUGCCCUUAUUAAUGAUGAAUGCUGCAUGACCCUCUUACUGUCGAAGCCUGAAAGUUGACCAUUUUGGGUCACUUUAGUAUGCAAAGGACUGGAUUGGCCAGAAACAGAAGUACCUUUGAAGUAUCGUUGGCAUUGAAAAUGUCUCCAGCAGUGAUCUGUUGGUCUGCUCUAAUUAGUAGACUUAAAUUCUCAUUGGUGUUUAGUGAAAAUGAUGAUAAAAGAAAUCUUUAUCUUUCAGUGUGAUAGAUGUACCUGUUGUUUUAUCCCAUGUCUCAGCAAGGGUGAGGGAAGCCUUUGGUUGCAGGCUGUUUUCAGAGGCUGAUGGUACUUGGCCUUGAGUGCCAGCACGGCAGAGAAUUCAGUCUCACAAGGACAAGUUAUGGAGAAAAGAAUUAAAAAGAAAAAAAAAAAAGCUCACUGAUAAACUGAGACACACCAUCUGUUGCAUCCAAAGUCUACCAAAAGAUUUUAAGGAGGCAUCAUCUGACUAUUGACACACUUCUACAGCUCAGGACCUGGCAGAUAAGGAAAUAGGAAAGAAAUCAAUUAUUUUAUGGGAAAUAUUCUCAAAGCAGGUGCCUAACUUGUUUCCUGCACACCAAGGUUUCCAUUUGGUUUCUUUCAUCUAAUGACAUGUCAUCUGUUAUAAGAAACUUUUGUGACAUUCAGAGCAGCCAGGUACAUUUGUUUCCAUGAAGUUAGCCUAAAAUUCUGGGUUUUAACCACUGAUUCAGAAAUGUCACAUGUAUCAAAACUGUCAUGUAAGCCUCAAACUCCCAAACUGAGAUCUUCUAGGAAAGAAAAAAAGUGUACCACACAGGCCAUCUGAUGAAGCCAGGACACACACCUCCAGCCAAGAAGACUGCACAGAUUUGAGAACAUAAGGGAAACUUCUGAUGCAGCUUGAAGAUUUGUUCUCCAAUUUGUCCUCUGAAUGGAACUGAAUGUCAGUCCUGCUGCAACAAAAAGAUUAUACAUUUGCUUCUUAGUCUGUUACUGCAGCAGAAGCACUUGAAGUUAAAGGAUGAAGUGUACUAUGUUAAUUUUGGGUUUGUCAGAAGGCACAGAGUGGAAGAUUAGAGGCAUGGAGGAAUAAGUGUACCCAUGUGGCUUCUGUUGCUCUGCCUUUGAGACCUUUUAUGUUUUACACAAUUAGAUCUGUGCCACCAAUGCACGUUCUUGUAAGAUGUUAUCAGGCCAUAAAAUAAGAUGCCUUCUGUUGUUGAGCUGAGGAAGACAAAAAUUAAAAAUCAUAUGUAUGGCAUGGCCUUUUUAACACUGACAAGCAUUAAUUGGAAGACUAAGAUGUAUCUGCAGUUUCCUAAGACUUGUAAUGACAGGACCCCAACAAGCCAAAAGAGAUUCAGAAGACCUCUGCUUCAGCUUAAUCUUCUAAACUUCACCUGCUUCUUGUCUGCAUCUGUGCAAUUUGGCAUCUGUGAAGCAUCUUCAGACUGAGAUCCACAUGGAGCUGCUUGUGGAGCUGAGAAAAACAGGCGUUUGUAAGCUGUCACAUGGCACAUAAAUGAACCAGUAGAACUCAAGGCUAGCUUGCGAUGAAGAAAUGUAAGAUUAUAUUUUUGUCACAGACUUGGCAGAUGGCUCUUUCACCUACACUGACUUCCGCCAAACUUCAGCUCAUAGACACUUGAGAAGAUGUGGAAGCUCUUUAAAGAGAUAAAUGAAAAAUUGAACUGAUUUAGCAAGGAAGAGGAAAUAAACUUGCUGUGAAAAUGGGACUAAGGAGUGAAAACACAUUCGUACUGACAAUAGUCAAUCAACAAGACUUGAAAGAGGCUGGCAAGCAUGCAUGUAGCACUGCCCCCGUGCAGCAGCUUGGAUAAAAUGAUGAGUGCAUUACCCUGAAGGAUGUCAAUUACCCUGAAGGAUGUCACACCAAAGCAAAAGCUUAAUAAUUCAGCCCCAAGACCAGCACGUGUUAUUUAGCAGUGGAGCCAGCUGUUGUGCUUUCUCAAGUUGUGACCUCAUCGGAUUUAUGAAGUAAGCUGAACUGAGCUGCUUUUAUAUUUGGCUCUGAAACCUCUUUUGAAAAUCCAAAAUAAUGCAGGAAGUAGUGAUGUGGAUUCAACAGCAAAUAUGAUUCCCCUCCAGUGUUGGACUGAUGUGAUGUUUUAGCAUGGAGUGAGGAAGCAAUGUGCUACUUGCAUGAGCUGUAUUUCAUAUAAAGUAUUAGCUCAUUUUUAUGAAAAUCCAAACAAAGCUUGCUCAAGGGAUAGGUGCACUGCAGCACUUUCAAUAUAGAGUUGCCACUGGUACACUCCAAAACAGAAAGAAAAGCAGAAACUGAACGCGUCCUCUAGGACUCGAGUGUCCCACUCCCUUACCUCUUUGUGAGUUACAGCAUGACAUUUACAGCUACUGCUCUCCACCUUUGCUCUGUAUUCAGCCUGCAAAACAAGUUCUCUGCUUCAGUGGACCCCCACCCCCCCACACACUCCCGGGUUUUCCUUGCCUGUAUCAGUCCACACAGUCAUUCUUUUAACUAUGUACUUUGAUGUGAGAGAGAAAGUAAAGGGGUCUGGCCUCUGUUACUGCUUUAUCUACUUGCAUUCCUUCCACAUUCACUUUUUUGUGCUCUUUCCUCUCCUCCAUCCCUGUUUGCUUUCCUUCCCCCAACAGUGCUGACAUCGGAGAUAAGGUAACUCUUCAUCUCAGGACCAGAGUCAAUUCUUAAAAAGCCUUAAGACUCACCUUCUGCUUCCAGUUUUACCAUGACUCCUGCACUGAAAUAAAUAAGGGUGCAUUGCUGUAUCUCUGAGCAGCCUCUAGCCACUGGCAUCAAUGUGUUCCACAUAAUUUUCUAUAUAUCCAAGAUUUAAUAAGUAGUUCAACUUUCUAGGUGAACCGUUGUUCUUCAUGAUAGCUUUUAAAUCCAUUCUGCAUAUGUCCAAUGUAGAUAGCUGCCCUUCAUAUUAGGGUGUCUUUUAUCUCACCAAAAGCAUGAGAUUUCACCAUAUGCUUUAGUCUUCUCUAGCUUAGAUAUUUGCUUGUUGUGAAAUGAGUAAAGUCUCCAACCUGUGAGAAAGGGCUGCCUAAGGAAAUGUACUCCCAGUGGCUUGUUGACUGGGUGGUGAGUCAGUCAGCAUUCACUCCUCAUGUUGCUGGUGCUCUGCCCACUCGGACAUUUGAAUCAAGUGUUUUGGGUGGGGGUCCUAAAACUGGGAGCAAUUGGAGACUCCUGGGUCGCAGUAACAAACAUUGGAGAGUCAGAAAAGAUCGAAACCCAAAGGUCUAGUGGUCUGUGAUGGUUUUACCCUGC